rnacentral:rRNA from 1 species
AUUACCCAAUACGACACGGUGAGGUAGUGACAAGAAAUAACAAUACAGGGCUAAUGUCUUGUAAUUGGAAUGAUGGUGACCCACACCCUCACCAGAGUAGCAAUUGGAGGGCAAGUCUGGUGCCAGCAGCCGCGGUAAUUCCAGCUCCAAUAGCGUAUAUUAAACUUGUUGCAGUUAAAAAGCUCGUAGUUGAAUUUUAGCGUGUUCGAGUUUGCCAUUCGUUUGGCUUUUUCGAGUUCGCUUUUGGGUUUUCCCUUUUUACUUUGAGAAAAUUAGAGUGUUUCAAGCAGACUUUUGUCUUGAAUACUUCAGCAUGGAAUAAUAGAGUAGGACUUUGGUUCUAUUUUGUUGGUUAUUGAACCUUAGUAAUGGUUAAUAGGAACGGUUGGGGGCAUUCGUAUUUAA